CCCUUAGAUGUUCUGGGCUGCACGCGCGCGACAAUGACGUUUGCAACGAGAUUGCGAGGCCGUCAGGUCGAGCUGAUCUUGCAAGCUGCGUCGUGAUAGGGACAGUCGAUUGCAAUUAUUCGACUCGAACGAGGAAUUCCUUGUAAUCGCGCAUCAUCAGUGCGCGCUGAAUACGUCCCUGCCCUUUGUACACACCGCCCGACGCUCCUACCGAUUGAGUGAUCCGGUGAAUGUUUUGGAUCGGCUUCAAGUUGGUUCGCGCCUCUUGCUUGCUGUGAAAUCAUGUAAACCUUAUUGCUUAGAGGAAGGAGAAGUCGUAACA
rnacentral:rRNA from 1 species